UUAGCUUGCUAUUUGCUACUUGCUACUUGCCUAGUACUAGAGAUGUCUACCCAACCCAACCAACCAGCUGUUUCCUCGCUUGAAAUGGAUGCCCAGCCCAUCGAGCGGCUUAUCCAGCCUGAUCAAAAGUCCGCAGAUAUUGAUUUGGAUUCAUACUUCAAAUAUAAGCCAGAACGAGAUUCUGCCAAUGAUGUACGAAAUGCACUUUUAGUGGUGUUGGCACUGAUUGCUGCCGCUACCUUCCAAGCUGGACUCAACCCUCCCGGUGGGGUUUGGCAAGACACCAAGAACGACCAUGGGGUAAAUCAGGAAGCUGGCACCGCAAUUUUGGGUUCUUACCCCCACAAUUGCAAAGUUUUCUUUUUCUUUAAUACGCUAGCAUUUUCUUCAUCCAUCUACGUCAUUGGGUAUCUUGUAUCCGGAUUCCCCUUUUUUAUACAGAUAUGGAUUGGCUUAGUCUCAUUUUCCGCUACAUACGGUAUUUCAACUGCCUCCUUAAAACUUCGCAGUGCUGCUUGUCUAAACGAAACACUCGUCGCCGUUGCAUUUUUUCUUCCACUUGUAACGUUGUCUACGAUGUACUAUUUAAAGAGGGCGUGGCGUAGAUUAUCAACUUGGAUUAUCAAACUCAUCAAUAGAGGGCGUACUGCACUUAAGGUUAUUCUCUGUGACAGUUGAGGACAUCACAGUAGUGGACCAAGGCAUUGUGGGCUUGGGUGUAAGUAAUAAAGGUUUAGUCUUCGGCCUCAGUCCCAGGCCGAGGCUCUUUUACUAUUUAAUAGAGUUGUUUGAACUGUAUCAUUUCUUUGUCUGGUUAAGUUGACAUCUGACCCAUUAGUUAGUAGAACCCC